rnacentral:rRNA from 1 species
AUGAAUAACGGUUACGCGGGUAUGCGUCACCGUGGAAGCCAGCCCCUGAUGGACAGCUCUGCGGUGUUGAUGUCCGGGAGCUACACUACUGUCGGCCAUGGUCAGACCUCAUUUUCCUUGGACUUCCGGGGUUCGGCAAUGGACAACUGCAGCCGUGGCAACAGGGGUGUCCAGCGGUCUGGUCAUGCUUCUGCGCAAGAUGAUGCGUGCAGACUGGUCCUUGGACUGGGUCCGUCGCCGGAACCUAGCUCUGUGGAUUACCAGCAGCCUGCAGGAGGAGCAGGCAAGUCGAAAGCGCCGGUGACUCUGUUUGGCCGGAGUUUAUCGUUCACUAAUCCUGGGACGAUGACCCUUGGGCUUCAUGAUCGGGUGGGUAAUGCUGAAGCUAUCGCUCAGCAUUCUGAACCGCCUGGAGGAAACAUCAUCUCCUUCUCCGGUGUCGACGAGAGCUCGACGUCGGCCAGGAGGAGCUCCGGUGGCUACAUUCCGUCGCUGCUCUUCGCAUCUCGGCCGAAUCUUUGUGUUGCUCAAGAGAAUCGGGCAGAGGCGCAUGAUGAUCUGCUCGAUGACCACACGGACAACGCCAAUGAUAGUGCCGAGCAUCACCUUCAAUUCAGCCCUGAACCUUCUGCAACGACAAUGACAGAUACUUCGUUCGGUGUGAGCUCUGAUGUUGUCACCGGUGUAACUGAUCGUGGACAGCCGGUUCAUCGCCGGUUUCCGAAGAAGUGCAGGUUCAAAGGGUGCUCUAAAGGUGCGAGAGGUGCAUCAGGCCUGUGCAUUGCCCAUGGCGGCGGGCAGAGGUGCCAGAAGCCCGGGUGCUACAAGGGUGCCGAGAGCCGAACGGCCUACUGCAAGGCCCAUGGAGGCGGCCGGCGGUGUAUGCAGCUCGGCUGCACUAAGAGCGCCGAGGGAAAGACGGAUCACUGCAUUGCCCACGGCGGAGGUCGCCGGUGCGGAUACAACAGCUGCCCUAAAGCCGCGCGUGGCAAGUCCGGGCGAUGCAUCAAGCACGGAGGAGGGAAGCGGUGCGCGGUCGAGGGCUGCAUCCGGAGCGCCGAGGGGAAGGUCGGGUUCUGCAUCUCCCACGGCGGCGGCCGCCGUUGCCAGUACCCGGACUGCCGCAAGGGGGCGCAGGGCAGCACGCUGUACUGCAAGUCCCACGGCGGCGGCAAGAGGUGCGUCUUCGAGGGCUGCGCCAAGGGCGCGGAGGGCAGCACGCCGCUGUGCAAGGCGCACGGCGGCGGGAAGCGCUGCAUGCACGAAGGCGGCGGCGUGUGCCCCAAGAGCGUCCACGGGGGCACCAGCUACUGCGUGGCGCACGGCGGCGGGAAGCGCUGCGCGGUGCCCGGGUGCGGCAAGAGCGCCCGCGGGCGCACAGAGUUCUGCGUGAAGCACGGCGGCGGCAAACGGUGCAAGGUCGACAGCUGCGGCAAGAGCGCGCAGGGGAGUACGGAGUUCUGCAAGGCCCACGGCGGCGGCAAGCGGUGCACCUUCGGCACGGGCUGCGACAAGUUCGCCCGCGGGCGGAGCGGCCUCUGCGCCGCCCACGCGACGCUGGUGGCCUCGCAGUCCCAGUCCCAGGCACAGCAGCGAGGACGCGGCGGCUGGAGCAUGAUCGGGCCGGGCCUCUUCCGAGGCAUCGUGUCCUCGUCAGCCGCGGCCGCAGCCGCCAGCGCCAUGAACUACGAGUACUCGUCGGGCGUGAGCACGGUGUCGGAGUGCGACGGCUCGCCGGUGCCUACGCCGGGGAGGCAGGAGCUGAUUCCUCCUCAGGUGCUGGUUCCCCUCUCUAUGAAGUCCUCGUCGCCAUCCGCGGAUAGGCGCAGGGAGAGUGGAGAGUUGUGUGUUCCAGAGGGGAGGGUGCACGGGGGUGGACUUCUGUCAUUGCUCGGCGGGAGCUUCAGGAACAUCAUUGACGUCGACAAACUCUCAAGCCGCUAG